GCAGCUGCCGGACACCAGGAGACGAUGGAAGGUCUACAGUGUUACAGCUCUGACCCAGGAAGUCCCAGGGUCUUGGCUUCCAGAAGGGUCGCGGCUCUUCCCUCCCUCAGUCCAACGAACAGGAGCACGUCACCUCCCGCAGCUCGGGGAGCUGGCCAGGAACGUGUUACAGCCCGUUUCGCUCCUGUCCGCAGCUGGGUGAGGCAGCCAGGAAAAUAUUACAGCUCUUCUCACGCCCGCCAUUCAGCAGGUCCUGACUUCUUGUGUGACAUCCAGAAGAAAGGGGUUACACAGACAACUGGAGGGUGAGCAAAGUGGAGAAGUUCUCAGCAGAGAGGAGACUGGAGUGAGUUGCUCCUACCCGCAGGUGCCAACUGUAAUACAUCAGUAGCUGAACAGCUCACUGCCCUAAAGUGUUCUUGCUCAUGCCUGGCUGAGUUAUUGAAGAAAUUGCUCAGAUCUCAAGCCCUUGUAGAUCACUGGUCCUGGCAGAUGUUAUACAUGAACAGAAAAGCCUGAACUAGGGAACUGACCAUGAAACUAAAAAGGAGAAAGCAUAUGCAAGUGGACACAAUGUGAGUAUCCUGGCUUCCUGUGUUCUGCCUCAGGAAAUAGAGAUAUAAGUGAUAUUAUUCAACAGAGUCAUGGUAUGCGAAGCAGUGAUGUGGGGGAGAUGAGGCAUUUGGAUUUGUGGCUGUGUGGGUAUUGCCUGGAACUUCUUCCCUGAUUUUCACAACUUUAAGUUAAAAGUUAAGUACCAGAGGGAAGAGGUCAUUGAAGGAGAAAAUCAGAUUCAUUAUUUACUACGGAUAUAUGCUAAUUUUAUAUAAGGGCAAUCAAUUCAUCAACUUAAAUGUAAUUUAAAUUACUUUGCUAUAGGAUAUCAUUGUUAAUGCAAGACUCCAUUGUAUAGGUUGGCAAUCGCAUUACUGUGUCCACAUAUAAAAUUAUGUUGUUUCCAGUAUUUUGAUACAAAUUCUUUAUUUCAGAGGAACUAUUAUAUAUUACUAUUGUUAACUAUUAUUGGGAUGUCAUCCAAGAUAUGGGUAAUGUAUACAACUAUUACUGUCAGGGAAGGAAAACAUAAACAAAAUUCAUGAUAUAAAGCUUCUUAUGUGGAUCAAAUAUCAUAAUGUUCUGGAAGUUUCUUAAGAGCAGGAAUGAGAGAAAGAGUUAACAAGUUGCCAUGAAGUUAAACAAACUUUCAUUUCAAGACCCCUUGCUUGCCUGUCUCUCUUAUGAGGAGCCCUAGCAAUGUGUUUACUUGGUCAUCUAUUGUAGUAAAAUUUGACCAAGUGUCACAUUUUAACCACAAUCAGUUAAGUGCAGGCUGUCGCAAUACCAGUGGCCCUAUCACACUUGUCCUCUAGUCAGGUGUUGUUGAUGGCUACUGGCAUAAAGACGUGGGCUAAAGAGAGGUUGUCAGGAAAUUCAGAGGCCAGUGAAGACAACCUAAGAUGUAUAAUACACAACCACAAUAAGACAUGAGCAAGAAACUUGUUAACAAGUGACGGCAAUUAAGAGUAUUUAGAUUAGUCACUGGAAGAAAACUUGCAAUGUCAAGAAACUCAGAACUCAUCUGUGAAUGAAGCUCAAUAGACAUUUUCCUAAAUUUGACAAGAAUCCUAAAAAUGUUCAUGAUAUCACCAGUAAUGACUUGUAAAGUAGAAAUAAAGAGACUACAGCGAAUAAACAAAUACCAUAGUAAAAUAACGCAUUAUUUUCUUUUAUUCUAUAUAGAACUUAGUAUAAAUGUCUUGUCUUACAAGGGUGUGAUUUUGCAGCCAAAAAUGUAAGACAGGGAAGGGGGAAUGGAAUAGAGUAUGGCAAGACUAUUAAUGAAUACAAAUAGUAUCUCAUUUUGUGUUUUAUUUUUAAGUUGUUCAUGGGAUUGGUUAGCUUUUUAAAAUUUGCAGUUUGUUGUGAUUACUGAUUGUAAAUAUUUAAUGUCAUAUCUGUUUAUAAUCACCAUUUUGUGUAAAAGAAGGCCUCUAAAAUUAUUUAAGCUUCACAUCACAUAAUCACUGUAAUAUUUCUCUCAAGAUCCCUAGCACCAAACUAAAAACUGUAGAGAAAAUUGCUCAGUAAAGUUGACCGUUAAACGAACAAGAGAGUGUCAGGAUUUAAUAAUUAAAUGUUAAGUGAGGAACAAUAGGGAACACAGCAUCUUGAUCCUGCUGUAAAAGUAAGGCAAAGUGAAUUCAGGGAAAGAGAAAUCUCAAAAUAAAAGUUUAUUCUCAGCUCUAUUCAUGAACUUUUGACUGUUUACAGUUGAUAAAAUUACCUUCAUAAAUUACAUGGGCAUGGAGGGAGACAGACAUCAAGAUCCUGGAGAUGAAGGAAGCUAACUCUUAUAAGACAAUCAACAACAACAAAAUGAUCUUUGCUCCUGAUUUUAAAGGGCUAAAGGAAGAGGAGAAGGGGAAGAUGAAGGGAGAACACAUGCAUAGGAAAAAUGAGGGGAAAUAAACAAAGAGAAAUUGUGUAAGGUGAGAAAUGACAGUAAAAUUCACCUAUAAUAUGGAGGCUGAAAACGAUUUUAAAAAUGGUGAAACCUUCUAUUCUAUUUGAAAAAUAUUUUUUGGUACAAUAAAAAAUCUUCUAGCACUCAUCCAUCCCAAUUCUUUCCCAACUGAAAUGUCAGUGAAUUCUACUCUACUCAUAAUGUAUUGUAAAAAAAAGUUUUUUCCCCCUUAACUAAAAAACUUACCUCAACUUUACAUAUGAACCAGAAUGAAGAAUUCUACAAGAAAGUAGAAACAUGACAGAAAGAAGAGUACAGGAGAACGGGUGAAACUUGAAAACUGAUAGAAAUGAUAGAACAGGAUCUAUACUUCUGCAGGUCACUGAAGUGAAGAGUUUGAUGUUCUUCCUAGAUCUUCAUAGACGCAGAAUUGCCUGUGUAAUCUCCUUACCUCACUAGUCUGCCCUGUCUUCCUUCUUGCUAGAUGAGAAAUAAAGAAAACAAGAAAAGCAAGGGAAAGGAGAGAAAAAAGGAGGGAUGCAGCAAGAGGGAGAAAGAAAAGGAUGAGAAAAUAAAAUAAAUUACUAAAGGG